UCUUCGACACGAUAACGGAAUGAGAUGAGUAAACUAAUUUCGAUUCGAAAGCAAAAGGAGAUAGCUACAAUUGAUAUCUCUCGAAUAUAGUAAGCGGAGACCAUUGGGUUCCCGUUUCUUAAAACCAUACCGUGACAGUUUAAUCUGAGGGAUUUCAGAAAUAGUCUCGUCCACUUUGUCCCAGACCGUGGUAGAAGAAGGAUCGCGAAGUUGUGUAGUUUCCGUGGUGUAAUUGUUACCCUAGCUAGAUAUCGAAGUUUGUGCGGUAAAAGUUGUGCGUGUUGAACUGUUGUGUCAGAGUUCAAAGCCUAGCGCAAGCUACGGCUUUUUCAUUCAGAGCCAACCCAAAAAUACCGCACAAAGCGCAGACGAAAAGCUAGCCGCCGCACCACCCUCCGUCGCGCAUCCAGUCUACGCUCUGGAAGCAAAGUUUCCCGGCGGUUUGAGGCCGGAAGGAGUCGCGAACGCCCUCAACGCACUCCAGGCGACUAUUCCGUUCAUCGUUCGCCCAGCCAGUAAGUUCACGGCACGAGAAAACCACCAAAAUCUCGUGCGUGAACGUGAAACUCGGUUGUAGCUCAACGAGUCAUCGCUGGUGGCAGCCAUCGCCGUCAUCGUCGUAGAAAGCGCAAAUAAGAG